rnacentral:tRNA from 1 species
GACUGGGCUGUGGCUCAGUGGGAGAGCAUCUGCUUUGCGUGCAGAAGGUCCCAGGCUCAAACCCUGGCAUCUCCCAGUUA